GCGGGUGCCUAUAGUGGAGAGGCCACACCCGUUCCCAUUCCGAACACGGUCGUUAAGCUCUUCACACCGAUGGUAUUGGCGGAAGCUGAGAGAGUAGGCAGCGCCCGCU
rnacentral:rRNA from 2 species